UACGAAGGGUGCAAGCGUUACUCGGAAUUACUGGGCGUAAAGCGUGCGUAGGUGGUCUGUUAAGUCUGAUGUGAAAGCCCUGGGCUCAACCUGGGAAUUGCAUUGGAUACUGGCAGGCUAGAGUGCGGUAGAGGAUGGCGGAAUUCCCGGUGUAGCAGUGAAAUGCGUAGAUAUCUGGAGGAACACCGGUGGCGAAGGCGGCAUCCUGGACCGAUACUGACACUGAGGAGCGAAAGCCAGGGGAGCAAACGGG
rnacentral:rRNA from 1 species